GGCGGCCGAGCCGCUCGGGGCCCGGCAGCGCUGCCCAUGGGGGAGUGCGGGGUCCCCCCCCAGGUCCAGCUCUUCCUCCGCGCCUGCGAGCAGGGCGACUGCGAGACCGCCCGACGCCUCUUGGGGCUGCCCGGCGGCAGCGGCGACCCCGCGGCCCCCUCCUCCUCCUCGUGCGGCCCCGAGGAGACGGCGGCGGAGCCCCGCGGCGAAGCGUCGUCCCCGCCGAGCCCCGCCGUGCCCGUGGACUGCACGGACGAGGCCGGCAACACGGGGCUGCAGUUUGCCGCGGCGGGGGGGCACGAGCAGCUGGUGCGGUUCCUGCUGCGGAAGGGCGCCUCGGUGCAGAGCAGGAACCACUACGGAUGGAGCCCCCUCAUGCAAGCGGCCAGGUUUGGACAUCUAAGCGUGGCCCACAUCUUGCUGGAGAAUGGUGCUGAUCUCAAUGCACAGAACAAGUUAGGAGCCAGUGUCCUCACAAUGGCCUCCAGAGGCGGUCAUGUCAGCAUGGUGAAAUUGUUGCUGGAAUCUGGAGCUUUUGUGGACAAUUACGACCAUUUUUGCACAAAUGUACUUAACAGCAGCAGAGAUGACCUUCCUGAUAUCACUCCACUGAUGGCAGCUGCUCAGCAUGGACAUGAGGCCGUGGUACAUCUGUUGCUAGACUGGGGAGCUGAUUGUAACUACACUAUCAAGACCAUGGGCUGGAGCCCUUUAAUGCUGGCAGCCGUUAGUGGAAAGGUGAGCUUGGCACAGCAGCUCAUGGAGAAAGGUGCCAAUCCUGAUCACUUGAAUGUACUACAUAAAACACCUUUUGAAAUCUCUGUUGGCUUCAAACACAAAGACAUGAAGGACUAUUUGGAAUCUCUCACAACGAUUAGGCCUCAGGCAGAUGCAGAAAAGAGGCAACCUGAUAUCUUUCAUGCUUUGAAACUGGGAAACUUCCAGCUGGUUAAAGAGAUCAUUGAUGAAGAUUUGAGUCAAGUUAAUAUUACCACUGUUGAUGGUGCAUCUCCUUUAAUGAUUGCGGCUGUAACUGGACAGCUGUCCCUUGUUCAGCUCCUUGUUGAGAAAAAGGCUGAUAUUGAUAAGCAGGAUAAUGUUCAUGGCUGGACAGCACUAAUGCAGGCUACGUACCAUGGAAACAAAAAUGUUGUAAAGUAUUUGUUAAAUCAAGGAGCUGAUGUUAACCUUCGUGCGAGAAAUGGAUACACAGCUUUUGACCUGAUAAUGCUGCUGAAUGAUCCAGAUACAGAGCUUGUAAGGUUACUGGCAUCAGCAUGCAUGCAAGUAGAUAAAGACAAGAAUAAAGUGAACAACAGAUCAUCUCUGCCUCGUUCCAGAAGUAGGCAGUCCUUAAAUGUCCCAAUGUUGCCAGAUGACAAAGGAGGCCUAAAGUCCUGGUGGAGCAGAAUGUCCAAUCGAUUCCGCAAGCUGAAGUUGACUCAGACAUUGCGCCAUGGAUUUCCUUCUAAUCAGUUUGUGCCUUUUCCGGAUGAGACUGAGCCAUCAUUAAAUUCCACUAUAAAAGUAGCCUCACAGAGUGAUACAGACAUCUCUGGAGACCUUGAUGCUGCUACAGCUUGGAACACAAAUAGCAAAGCUGGUGGUGCAAACGCUGUGAAAGGAGAAAAGGAUGAUGAAUUAUUGACAACUAUGCUGAGGAGUAGUGCCCCGUUUACCAGGCUGCCCAGUGAUAAGCUGAAAGCAGUGAUACCACCUUUCUUACCACCCUCAAGCUUUGAGCUUUGGAAUUCUGACCGAACCCGACUCGGCAAAGAUGGCAAAGCUGAACAGAUGAGAACUGCCUGGCCACAAAGACCAGUCAAGCAUGAUUUUAACAGCAGUGGGAACUCUGAUAUAACAUCUGUUAGCAAAGGUACUAGACCAGUCAAAUUGCCAACAUUUGCAAGAAGACCAGCCUCUCCUUCAAAUUCCAAUAACUUCAACCAUUCCCCCCAUUCUUCUGGUGGAUCUAAUAACAUUGCAGGAAUUAACAGGCAUGGAGGAGAACUGCAUAACCGAUCAGGUGGCAGUGCAGAUAAUGUUUUGUCUCAGAUUGCAGCCCAAAGAAGAAAAGCAUCAGGCUUACCUGAACAGAAACCCAGCCAACAGCACAGUCCAGUCCAGUCAACUCCGUCAUCUACCACGUCGGAUUUGCAGCGUGCUCAGAUUGUUGGCAAUGGACAUGUUGUAAAGCAAAAACUGGAGAUGAACAAAAGACCUCCAUCUGGGACUUCAUCUACGUCUAAAAGCACAUCACCAACUCUUACACCUUCUCCAUCACCUUCCCCAUCUCCUAAGGUUCAAAACGCAGAGUCUUCUGUCUCUUCUUCUCACAGACACGCCAAGAGCAAUGGCUCCAGCAGUGGUACUAUUACAGAGGAUGGCAACCAUUUGGUGGACCAUCAACAACUUGUCCCUAUUCCAAGAGCCAGUGAUAUAGAGAAUUAUGAAAGACGAAACCAUGUGAGAGUAAAAGAGGGCUCUGAAAACUUGGAAAAAGAUGAGCUGACUGGCCUCCUUAAAAAAUUGUCACUUGAGAAAUAUCAGCCUAUAUUUGAGGAACAGGAGGUGGAUAUGGAAGCUUUCCUCACACUUACUGAUGGUGAUUUGAAAGAGUUGGGUAUUAAAACGGAUGGAUCAAGGCAGCAAAUUUUGGCAGCUAUUUCUGAACUGAAUGCAGGAAAGGGUCGAGAGAGACAGAUUUUACAAGAAACUAUACACAACUUCCACUCUUCCUUUGAGAGUAGUGUUAGUAACACACGACCACCAGGUCAUUCCCAAUGUAUGACUAGGUGAGCAGAAGCUGUUUGGGAUUUAAUUACAUGGUGCAAAGAACUGGAAUUACUCAAGAACCAAAGAAGCAUAGAGGUGUAAUGUAUCUCCAAGCAACUUGCUGACCUUAAGUGUCUUGAAGACAUCAAAGGACAAGAAUGGUGGCUCAGAGCUGGGGAGAACAUCCUUUUGUAAGAAUGGAGGCAACAGUUGCUCCUGUUGAGUUUUUGACAAGAGACUGCAAGAAGGCUGCCAUGAGAGGUCUGGCUUUUGGGUUUUUGUGUAUGAGAGCUCCAUGAUACAGAUUUGGCUGUGGAACAGAAACAGAAGCUCUAAGAGAGAAGAGGAAGACAACUUGUUGCUAAAAGAAGUUUCUGCACCAGAGCAGAUAACCAGUCCAUGGAGGCAUGAGGCUCUGAGGAACAAAAUGUCUGGAUUCCAACUUCAGUGAAACAGCAAGUGGCAGCAUGAAGUCCAGCUUUCUGAGAGAAUGGGAUUUAACAAAUAAUAUUAUCCCAGGAAGAGUUUCUGUUUGUGGUUGGAGGUGACCUUACAGGAUUCUGCUCCUGGAUGCUCUUUAAAACCACAAGAAGCCGUUUCUUCUAAAAGGUAGCUACUGGAACAAAAGUGGGUUUUAUUUUUCAUGGUGAAGUCCAGCAUCUGACUAAGUAAAUCUCUACAAAUGAAAAUUUGAAAAGCUAGUCCUGACUACACUGACAUAGGAUUUUCUGCAGUAACGUGCUUAAAAUACAAAACCUACAGAAAGGCAAAGCAAAUAGCAAAGAGAUUGCCUCUAUAGUUCAACCUAAGUGUUGAAUUGUUCAAGGCAUCAGUGGUCUGAAUUCAGGAAGAGCAAAGUCAGAAGAGCAGGAAGAAUGGGUGAAGAUGCAAGAAGAUGGAUGUUUCAUUCCACUCUUGCCCAUAGAUGAAGAAUCCACAGGAGACCAAUAUGGGCACAAGUCAAGAGGAACAAAAGCAUGGAAGAAGGCAAGAAGGACACCAUAAAUUGUGGCCCCUUCUCCAUGGGGAAAUACAUAAGCUGAAUAUGCCUCUUUUGAUUGGAUACAGAUAAAGUAGUCUAGAUUGAAAAUGUAGUGGUUUCAUGGGAAGAAAUAUAAAGGAGAAGUAAUGCUGCAUUCUUCAGUAAUCAAAAUAUAUUUUAUAUAUUCAAUAUUAUGAGGUUAGAACAGCAAUAAAAGUAAAAACAAAAUACCUAUUUGUAAAAACAGCACUUUAUUUGAGUAAAUGCAUAAUCUGUCACCAAUAUUUAAACUGAAAGAAUGUUAAAAUAUUUUAUAUUGUUGACUUUUUUUUUUUGAGAAUAAAACCAUUUACAUGA